rnacentral:lncRNA from 1 species
UACAACCUACAGGUUUAGAUGCAUUUAACCAAUACAGAAUUCACAAGAAUCGAUAUAACACCCCCUCUUAUCUCAUCUCUUAACAAGGAACGUACCAAUAAAGAUAGCAAUGCAUAUGUUCCAUUUUAAAAUAUAGCCAAGAUGCAAUGCAAGUGCCAAAUAGUGUUGCAAAUAAUCAGCAUAUCCAAGUUGUCUUUCUAAAAUUAAAUCAAUGUUUUCAAUCAGAGGUAUCAUAAAGUUGUUACCACCUAGAUACCAAGACACAAGAUUGAGUGCCCUUCCUGAUUUUUAAUCAAAGAGAAAUAUCAGAAAUUCAGAAAUCAUAAGAGAGAACUUAUAGAAAUAUCUUCCAUGCGAUUGAUAUCGUUUUAUCCACAUUUCUUAAUUGACUGUAUCUUCGUCAGAGAAAGAUCUUUGACAGCAGGUAGCUAUAAAGAAGCUGAUAUGAGAAUACUAAUCAAAGCAUGAAGCAUCCUUAUACCAUCUCCAUUCAAUGCCCAAUGAAUGACUAGCUCUCUCCCUAAACCAAAUGGAGAAGAGAGGUAUAUAAAAUGAGGAAUAAAUGACUCUUCAGACAAUUGUUGAAGCAAAUUGGAUUAUUCUCCAUCCCCUGGUAUGAGUCAUACCAGACACAAACAGAAACAAAAAUGACUUCAGUCAAUUCCUGACACAAAAUUGAAUGGCUCCAGACAUAGCCCAGUAUCCAGUCUUUAAACUAAAGUUCCUGCAUUUGCUUUUCC